rnacentral:rRNA from 1 species
UACGUAGGGUGCAAGCGUUAAUCGGAAUUACUGGGCGUAAAGCGUGUGCAGGCGGCUUUGCAAGACAGAUGUGGAAUCCCCGGGCUUAACCUGGGAACUGCAUUUGUGACUGCAUGGCUGGAGUGCGGCAGAGGGGGAUGGAAUUCCGCGUGUAGCAGUGAAAUGCGUAGAUAUGCGGAGGAACACCGAUGGCGAAGGCAAUCCCCUGGGCCUGCACUGACGCUCAUGCACGAAAGCGUGGGGAGCAAACAGG